rnacentral:RNase_P_RNA from 3 species
AGAGUUGGCGCAGGCGGUUGCGGGUUUAUUAGAUUGGAUUGAAUAAAUCUGAUUGAAUAAAUCUGAGGAAAGUCCGGGCUCCCGAAAGACCAAACCUGCUGGGUAACGCCCAGUGUGAGCGAUCGCGAGGAUAGUGCCACAGAAAAAUACCGCCGAAGGAGUUUGUCAGCCUGAAAACCUGAUGAACCCCUGGUAAGGGUGCAAAGGUGUGGUAAGAGCGCACCAGCAAUGUCGAGAGGCAUUGGCUCGGUAAACCCCGGUUGGGAGCAAGGUCGGAGGAACUAUGGUUGGUCUUUUCCCUGUUCCGUUUUAGGUGUACCGCUUGAGGUGUCUGGUGACAGGCAUCCCAGAUAGAUAACUGCCAUCCUAGCUGUUCUAGCCAGGAUAACAGAACCCGGCUUAUGUCUGACUCUCUCU